UCGAUGAUAAUGACAGUUUCAGACAAUUGCUGUAUCGCUUGCUGUGUGCAGUGUACAUCGAAAAUAAUACAGAUGUAAUUUAGAAUACGGCAGCACUUCCUGGUCCUUUUACGAGAAUUAUCAUUCUGUACAUUUGUCCUCAUACUGGCGAUUCACAAGCAGAAUUUCUGCCAUGCGACGACAUUGUCGAGGGCCUCGAGGCUGUUGUUUACCGUUGCAACUAAAAGCAAGUGGCUUUAUUGCUAGCAAGUGGCAUCAGUCGAAGAAUUGUUGUGUAGGAAGACAUUGUUGCUCAGGAAAAAGAACUUGUAAACGCUUUAGAGAGUCAAUUAGAUUGUUGCUUUCGUUCUGUUCUGAAAUGGUCUUAGUGAAAGUAUUUAUCCAUAUUUGUAAUAAUAUCCAUUACUUGCAUCAAUAUGAAACUCAACUGCAUACUUCGUUCAAGUGGGAGUGAGUCCAGUAAGAAGAUGGAUGAAUACCGUAUAUAUUAUAGACUAUUAUGGCUUUCACAAAGUUUCUUUGAACAAAUGAGUUCUUGAUACUGAAAGCCCAGAGCAAAGCUACACCUGCAAAGCAUUCCAGCUGAUAAGAAUAAUGAAUCAUCUUUGGAGAAAAAUAUUAAAAACUGAAAGAAUUUUUGUUGACAAGACUUGCAAUACAGGGAAAAGAAAAUUAUGUUUAUGAUUAUAAGUUGAUUUGCUGUAUCCUAGAGACUCAUGCGUUGAUAAACCUGAAAAACCACUGAUGUGCCCAGAAAAAUGAUGGUAAAGCUCAAAAGAAGAUUAAUGGAUAUAACUAAGAUAAGGUUAUCUUUUCCGAAUGUGAUGUUCAUCACAGUUGUAGCAAAAUCAUUUGUUAUCAUGGUUACUGAAUGGCUUGUUUUCACCUUAAGAACUGGCGCAAAAUAUAAAUGAUGUUGCUGAAAAAGAAGGAGUUGCUAUAGAACGAUAAUUUUCUUUGCUUUAUAUUUCGCACUUGUGUCUUGGCCUGUUGUCAAGAGAAUGCAAGUUUGGGUGAAAAUACUAAAAUGUACGUCUUAUCUAGUGAAAAUAUAUAAUGGGACCUACUCUUCAACGCUUA